rnacentral:rRNA from 1 species
UACAGAGGUCUCAAGCGUUGUUCGGAUUCAUUGGGCGUAAAGGGUGCGUAGGUGGCGGGGUAAGUCAGGUGUGAAAUCUCGGGGCUCAACCCCGAAACUGCACUUGAUACUGCCUUGCUCGAGGACUGGAGAGGAGAUUGGAAUUCACGGUGUAGCAGUGAAAUGCGUAGAUAUCGUGAGGAAGACCAGUGGCGAAGGCGGAUCUCUGGACAGUUCCUGACGCUGAGGCACGAAGGCCAGGGGAGCAAACGGG